AGUCCGGGCCCCCCAGAGUCUUCUGUCCAGGGCAGAGAUGGGGUGGGUGCAUGUGUGCCUCCCAUCUUCGAGGCUGCGUCCUCACCCUACCCAGAGCCCCACCAACCUCGGGGGGGGGGGCAGCAGCAGGGCCUGGAUGUCCAAGACCCUCCUCACCCCUCCCUCCCACCUACCCCGAGCCCCCCUGCUUUAUAAAUCUUCUUGCUCACCUCCACCCCCCAGGAUCCAAGUCGUUCUGGUAGAAUAUGGUUCCUUUUUCCUUUGGGUCAUUUUGCAGUUUUCUCCACUGUACGUCCGGGGCCCUGUGUUGGGUGUGCGUGUGGUGCCCUCCCAGCAGGACCUAGAGCUGUGUAGGGUCUCCCGCCUCCCCUCCUUGGCCCCAGCGGUCCUGCAAUGUGGACUUCACAGCAGACAUUGUGAAUAUUAGGUUUGCAGCUCGUGGAGAACGAGCUCCUGGCGUGUAGGUGGUCAGGUUCUGGGGUUCCUCCUUUUCUUUUUGCCUGUCUGUCUUUGUAAAACUUUGUUGCUGACAAUGCAUCAUUUCACAGUAAUCUUAAGACGAUAUUUUCCAAAAAGAAAGGCCUGCUUUCACAUAUCACCACAUGCAGCCCCAUAAUCAGAAGUCUGCCUCCUUCCCUGUCCUGUGGGGCGCAGACCUGACGAGAAAGGCAGCAGGCAGGUGGAGCGGGCUGCCGUGUGCCUCUCAGAAGGGUGGUGGCUGUGGCCCUUAGUCUCAUGGCCACACAGCGUUCGCACGGGCACCUUGCUGGGCUUAGAUCGGCAUGGAUCUGUGGGGGUGGGAUCAUGUGUCCACUCUGAUCUGCCGCUGUCACAGGCCUGAGGUCACCGAGUGGCAGAGCAGGGACCUGCAUGGACCCAGCAGUCUCGGGGUGCCAUGCAGGCCUGCCAGGUGAGGGUCUGGUUUGAAGGGGGCAGAGGGAGGGUCUUCCUGGUAGGAGGUAUCGAGGGGCCCCCUUCCUGUUGCACCGCCAGCUGGCCCUGGGUCUGGACGUGCUGGUCCUGGCCAGUCCCACAUCCUCCCAGAGUCUCACUCUGUGGUUCUCUGUUCUGUGCCUGCAAAGUGCAUGUCCCGGCAUUUGUGGGGAGAGGUGUCCAGCCUCCUCGGUCUCUCCGUGCCUGGCACAGGAAGCAGGCGUGUGGAUGGUCAGGAAAGGUUUGCGGCGUGGACUUCUGUCAGCCUUCAGAGUGAGGCUGGACCUCGGGAACCCUGACAGGAGCCGAGGGCUCCGUGGUUGGGCCUGGUCACCUGUUUCAGGACGUCCUGUCUCCGUGCCAGAGUGUGGUCGGUAUGUUAACACACACCCCCUGGUUUCCCUUGUGAGCACGGCGUUCCCAUGAGCCAGUCUGAUGGCAUCAGGCCUCUCUCCGUCAUUGUCCCUCAGGUGCAGGUCUGUAUGUGCCUCCUGGAGGCCUCUGAAUGGUCCCCGUGUGGAAACCUGGCUUGCUUUGUGGCCAUCUUCUUUUAUUUUUAAAUUCAGAUAAGAGCUUCAGGGCUUUUUCCUUUGAAAGCACAGGAACCCAAGCCCUGUGGAUUUUGCCAGUCGCAGCUCACUGAGUGCCGGGCGAAGUCUGGGGCAGUCAGCGUUAAAACAUGCAGUCAGUGCUGCUGAUGAGUGUUUGAGUUGAAAAGGAAGAGCGUGCAUUAAUUAUUGUAAAGAGAUGUCUUUAGGAGAAAAUGAUUUUGAAAUUCAGUUUAAUUUCAUUGUGAUGUGCUGCAAACAGGAAGGGAGUGUGUGUGUGUAAUUGGCUCUCGGGGGUGAGGCCUGGAAGCCGUGUGCCUUUGUCACAGGCCAUUAGCGAUACAGGCUGCAUAAUGAGCGGGCGCAAUCAGCUCGCAGCUGCCGGCUCCUGCGGGGAGAGCAUGAUAUUAAAUAGAAAUCAGGAUAAAUUAAACUUAACCCUUUCCCUGGCCAGCCCCUCCUGCCGCGGGGUUCUGGUGGGAGCUAGAGAGCUGCUCAGCCUUGGGGGAGGGGCCGGGUCCUCGUCUGCACGAGAAGAGAGAGGUCACCAGCGUUCCUGCCCUUCCUGCCCUGGGCACCUCCUUCCCCACGUGCAUGGAGCUCCUUGCAAGCCCCCAGGGGUUGUGGCUGCUCCCAAGGAGACCCAGCGUCUCCCCCCAGAAACUCUGCUGACAGCCACAGUGACUCUCCUCCCGAGUCUUGCUCACUUAAGCACCACCACAACCAGAGAAGCUACUGGACAUGCACACGGGCACCAGCGCUAGCCCAGGGCAGGGGGACGGCUGAUCCCAGGAGCCAGGCGCCCUCUGGCCUCUAUGUUGACCUUGCCGUCAGAGCAGAGGACAGAGGACACAGGGAUGAGGACACGGUGAAGACACGGGACAGAGGUGAGGACACAGAGAUGAAGACAUGAGGAUGAGCAUGGAAUGGUGGUGAGGGCACAGAGGUGAGGACACGGGACAGAGGUGAGGGACAUGGGACGGAGGUGAGGACACAGAGAUGAAGACAUGAGGAUAAGCAUGGAAUGGUGGUGAGGGCACAGAGGUGAGGACACGAGACAGAGGUGAGGACACAGGAUGGAGGUGAGGACAUGGGACAGAGGUGACGACACGGGACGGAGGUGAGGACGUGUGAUGGAGGUGAGGACACGGGACAGAGGUGAGGACACGGGACGGAGGUGAGGACACAGAGAUGAAGACAUGAGGAUAAGCAUGGAAUGGUGGUGAGGGCACAGAGGUGAGGACACGAGACAGAGGUGAGGACACAGGAUGGAGGUGAGGACAUGGGACAGAGGUGACGACACGGGACGGAGGUGAGGACGUGUGAUGGAGGUGAGGACACGGGACAGAGGUGAGGACACGGGACGGAGGUGAGGACACAGAGAUGAAGACAUGAGGAUAAGCAUGGAAUGGUGGUGAGGGCACAGAGGUGAGGACACGAGACAGAGGUGAGGACACAGGAUGGAGGUGAGGACAUGGGACAGAGGUGACGACACGGGACGGAGGUGAGGACGUGUGAUGGAGGUGAGGACACGGGACAGAGGUGAGGACACGGGACGGAGGUGAGGACACAGAGAUGAAGACAUGAGGAUAAGCAUGGAAUGGUGGUGAGGGCACAGAGGUGAGGACACGAGACAGAGGUGAGGACACAGGAUGGAGGUGAGGACAUGGGACAGAGGUGACGACACGGGACGGAGGUGAGGACGUGUGAUGGAGGUGAGGACACGGGACAGAGGUGAGGACACGGGACGGAGGUGAGGACACAGAGAUGAAGACAUGAGGAUAAGCAUGGAAUGGUGGUGAGGGCACAGAGGUGAGGACACGAGACAGAGGUGAGGACACAGGAUGGAGGUGAGGACAUGGGACAGAGGUGAUGACACGGGACGGAGGUGAGGACGUGUGAUGGAGGUGAGGACACGGGACAGAGGUGAGGACACGGGACGGAGGUGAGGACACGGGAUGGAGGUGAGGACACGGGAUGGAGGUGAGGACACGGGACGGAGGUGAGGACGUGGGACGGAGGUGAGGACACAGAGUUGAGGCCAUGGGGCUGAGGACACGUUGCUGGGGACACACACGGACACGGAGACCGAACUGAGCAGACAUUACAGUUGCUGCUGCCUUUGACGCCUCCCGGUGAGCAGUUCUGUGUUACGCUGCGAACUGAGCGUAAGGACGCAGACAGCCUCGGACUGACUUUAAAAAUGCCUCACAUACACUGUUCAGGGUGACGAAGUGACCUGGUACACAGCAUGCCAAUUCCAUGUCAGCGUGCUGGUCGAGGGUCCUUAGGGGAUGGGGAGCAAGGACGCUGGGAAAUCCACCAGAACGUCAGCACGUGCUUGCCUUCCCCACUGCAAGCACGUGACGUCGCUCCCAGAGACAGACAUGACAGCAACCCAGCAGAGGCCCGGGGAGAGUGUUCAGCAGAGCUGCGCCCCCGGAGGCUCGCUCACGGGGCCUGGGCAGCCCUCGGGGACUGGGCAGGGGCGAUGGGCAGAUCCCAGGAGAGCAGGGCAGCUGGCCAUAAAAAUGCAUAAGAUACGGUCUCACUUCCUCAUGAUGAGAGAGAGAUACAGAGACAAAGAUGGACUCCUGUCACCGAAUUUGAAAGGUUCUGACCAGGGGGGGUACUUUCCCUCCGCAGGUGGGACCGUGGGUCAGGAGGGAGUGACGAGAGGCAGGCAGAACCGGGCGCACGGACGUCUGCUGCCGUGUCAUCUACAAAGUGCGAGGCAGGAAGCCCGCGUCCACCAGUGGGGGCUGCUGCCCGUGCUCAGACGUGCCCAGCAGCAGGUGUCGGGAGGCCUUUAGAAACCGUGUUCUGAGAGAGUGAGGACAGGAAGUGAUGACGCGUGCGGGCGUGUGCGCGUCUGGGCGUGUGCUGGGUUCUCACAGCUGCUGGCCACUCUCACCUGUGGCAGGGCUCCUUCCUUCCUCGGAUCUCUGCCCUCUGGUGCUCCCUCGGUGAGCGUCUUUGCUCUCGGGGACACAGUGGACGCAAGUGGUGCUAACAUUUCACAUCUCCCGAUGGAGAAGCGUCGAGGCGCCAGGCGCAGUGUCCGCUCUGCACACUUCCUGCCGUGCUCCAGCUGGGGUUCUGCGUUCCUUCUCCAGCCAGAUCUUCCAUCUUGGCCAGUAGGUCACAGUUAGGAACUAGGCCAAGUGCUGCAUGUUAGCGGAUGUGGGUGCGCGGAGGGGACGGCUGUCACCGACCUGUGCGCCUCACUGACCCGGGAGGCAGGGUCACCGUGAAGGCUGUGCCAGCCAGUGGGGCCCCUUCGGGGAUGCUUGGCGAGACCGGCCAUGUAGUCUGCAGCUGGCCAGGUCCCUGUGUGGGCCGCCCCUUCUGUGUGUGGAAGGUUUGGAUGUGUUGUGUCUCAUUUUUUUAUCUGGCUUAAAAGUCCUUGUUUCCCAGGGCUCGCGGGGUGCGCUCGCGGGGAUGCGCUCCUGGGUCUCUUCUGCCACUUGUUGGGCUUUGUGUCCGUGAAGCUAGUCUUGGACCUGCUGGAACAGGCUUCCGUGUGCAGUGACGCGGUGACCCAGUGGUGACGUGAGACCGUGUUCCCUCUGUUGGAUGUCGCACUCCAGGUGCACGCGGGCUGGCUCCUGGGGCCCCCGCGCUCUUCCCUAGUCGGUCCCAGACCCUUGGGCAGAGGAAGAGUGUGUGUAAGUUUUCUGUUCCCAGUGAUACGUGCGUGGCUGGAGGACCCCACUGGUUUUACAGUUUGAGAACAGUAGCCGUUCGCGCCUGGCCUCUCAUGCUGCGCUCCACCCCUGCCCUCCGCCAAGAAGUACCACGUUCAGUGGCUCCAGUGCGGUCUCUGCGCGUGAGGCCGUGGACACAGCACUCGGGCCUGAGCCUCAUGGGGACCGUGGUCCUUCUGUCCCCUCAUUUCCCCGAGUGAGCUUCCACACUUGCUGCCGGCUGCAGCCACAUCCUUCCUGGCAGCGUGUGACCUUCCCGUCUUUGGAGUCCUAAGACUUCUCCAUCCCAGAGUCCUGACGUCGGACAAGCUGAGCACCUUGGAUGCUCCCGACUUUGACAUCCCUCCUCGUGCUGGCGCUCAGGACACCACAUCCUGUGAUUCUGGGAGCCACCACCUGGGGCUGAGAGCAGGAAGGACACGUGGGAGGCUGAGCUGCCCCGUGGCCGGGGGAGUCGACCCAGCACGAGCUGCCCCCUACCUGCCCCAGCCCCCCAGCUCUGUCUUGGGGCGAUGCCGGGAGCAGCCCAUGCCAGGCUCACGGGGCCUGACGGUGCCCGACAUGGACUAGGCGCAGAGUGGAGGGCUGGGUUCUCCGCUGCCGCCCUGCACCCCGGCCUCUGCACCCCCGUGUGCCCCCCGGAGAGCGGGGCAGGUGUUUUCCAGCAGGGGUGGGGUACUGACACCCAAGGGACAGACGACCUCGUCAGCUCAGUAAUUAGGAAUUAGUGGUGAGCAGUUUGCCGUGCAUGCUUCUUGGUCGUGAGUUCAGUUAACACGGGUUCUUUCCUGAAACGUAGCUUAAUCGCAGCACGGGGCAGACACUGGAGUGACUCCACGUGGGCGCAAGCCCCCCGGGAUGCAGGGACGUCUCUACAGACCAAACAGCAGUUUCUUAGAACGUUUUACUUGAGAUGGAUACCGACUCACAGGAAGUGACUGGUGGCGAGCAGGGCGGCCCCUGCGAGCCACACGAGUGUGUCUUCCUGUCAUGAACUGAGGCGCCACCUGGCCACGCGGAGUCCGCGGGGACUGCUAGCACCCCUGAGAUGCCACACCUCCUACUUUGUCAAAUUUAUCAAAAACCUUAAAGUUGUCUGCUCCGGGGUCUCUGGGUCUGGGGGCUUGCUUUUUGUUUGACUCGUCCUCCUGGGAGCUGCCGACAUGGGUGCGCGGAGGCCCAGGGCGAGCUGAGGGAGCCGCAUGGCCUCCUGCGCCACCCCCGCCACCCUGUGCUCGGGGCUCUGUCCUGCCGAGGAGCAGGUGGGCGGCGCUGUGGCACGCGGAUGUCGGGCGGGGCUCUGUACACACGGCUCCCACCCUCACCGCCAGGGACCCCUCUUCUGAGCCCCAUCCUGCCACUGGUUACGUCCUGCCCUUCAGAGGCGGGCUGCCCGUGGGUUAGAGACUCGUGGGAGUUUGGGGACAGCACUUGCCUCCCAGCCACUGUCUCUGUGCUGGGAUUUAGUGUCUGUGCCAGCCAGUAUCCAAGGAAACGGAGCAGAAAGGCCUGAAAGGGGUGUUGAGGGUCCUUGUUUUCCGGGGCGCCAAGCAGCCUUGUAGACCAGGCCUCAGUUCCGAGUAUGUCCCCUGAUCAGCGUGCGCUUCCUGCCCCCAUGGUCCUGCAUUCAGAACUGAGGCGGCCGGCACCUCAGGGUCUGCAGGCAGCGUGGGGAGGGGUCCCCGAGAGUAGGGCAGUCCCAUCCUGGUCCCCUUCACCCCUUCGCAGUGAGCAGGUAUGGUGCUCCCCCAUCCAGGGAAGCAAGCCAGAGCCUGCCGCCUCUUUUCCUGGCAGUAAGGGCAGGACUGGAAGAGCAGCCUGGGGGGCAGGUGCCACAUUGGGGAGAUGCCCCCCAGCCUCAGCCGCCGUGGUCUGGGCAGUGCGGGGCAUCUCCAGCAGGACCAGGGACAGGAACCUGAGCCCAGGGAGGGUCCCUCGGUCUGCUGGGUCUCUGCGUGAGUGGAGGUGGUGGGACAGGUCCAGGAAAGCACUGGAGGGACCCGGGGCGGGGGCAGUGUCCGUCCAGCAGCAGGAGGCAGCGACAGCUUGGACUGGGCCCGUUGGUGCCUUUAAGGGACAGGUGGCUGGCACUCAGGAGGCUCUCGGGAGAGCACACAGCCUCCGGGGGGAGGGAGGGCAGCAAGAGCGGGGCUGCACCCCAGGAAUGGGGAGCACAGUGGGCCUCGCAGGCCCCAGGGCGGGCUUCGUCCACCCCAGUCCUCCCUGCAGCCCGUCCUGCUCCUCCACGCCCGCACCCCUUCCCGCCGGCCAGCCGCCACCCCGUCAGGCCAUCCUGGGGCCACGACGCCCUUUCCAUAGAUGCUCUUGCAAAGCCUCUGGCUUCCCCUGCCUCCCGUCAGCGGGAGAGAACCCGCCAGGCUCGUGGCCUGUACGUGCUCUUGGAGCCUGGCCUUCCCACGCCACCGUAAGUAAGCUGGCCACCCAUCCAGGCACGAGCCUCUGUCCUGUUUAGUAGAGCGGAUUGCGCCCUGGGCUGCGGCAGGUGAUGGAUGGGCCUUCCUGUGUGGGUGGCGUGACUUGUAAUGAAACACUGAUGAUUUAUUCCAGCUAAUGACCCAGCGUGGGGCUCGGGCUGUGUGAGCGCAGGUGGGGAGGGACCAGUGCUGUUCUCAGAGGGCCAGGUAGGGGCGUCCUCACAGCCACACGCUCACACGUGCGUGCACUGUUGGAGCACACACACAUGCAUGCACACGUCCAUGCACAUUCACAUACACACGUCCACACACAUCCACGCACACACAUCCACGCACAUCCACGCA